UCAGAACAUGGGUGAUAAGGUCCGUGUUCGAAAGGGAAACAGCCCAGACCACCAGCUAAGGUCCCAAAAUAUAUGUUAAGUGGAAAAGGAUGUGGCGUUGCCCAGACAACUAGGAUGUUGGCUUAGAAGCAGCCAUCAUUUAAAGAGUGCGUAAUAGCUCACUAGUCGAGUGACACUGCGCCGAAAAUGUACCGGGGCUAAACAUAUUACCGAAGCUGUGGAUUGUCCUUUGGACAAUGGUAGGAGAGCGUUCUAAGGGCGUUGAAGCAUGAUCGUAAGGACAUGUGGAGCGCUUAGAAGUGAGAAUGCCGGUGUGAGUAGCGAAAGACGGGUGAGAAUCCCGUCCACCGAUUGACUAAGGUUUCCAGAGGAAGGCUCGUCCGCUCUGGGUUAGUCGGGUCCUAAGCUGAGGCCGACAGGCGUAGGCGAUGGAUAACAGGUUGAUAUUCCUGUACCACCUAUAAUCGUUUUAAUCGAUGGGGGGACGCAGUAGGAUAGGCGAAGCGUGCGAUUGGAUUGCACGUCUAAGCAGUAAGGCUGAGUAUUAGGCA
rnacentral:rRNA from 1 species